UAAAUCUUAUGUUUGAUAGCAUUGCAUAUAAAGAUACCUUUCUUUAUUGCCAACUCUUGUACUUUAUAGAAGUGCAUAUUAACACCUCUGUGGAAGGUAUGCUUACUCUUGCUUCGAAUCUUGGACUUCUACAUAUUCUGCAGAGUGGCAGAUUGUUUGUGCCCCUACAAAUGAAGAGGGUUGAAAAUUUAGUUGCAUUUUGAAGGAAUCUUAAACUAUUGUAGUUCUUUUGUAUGGUGACAUACCCAUUCACUAAUUUAUUAGUUUGAAGAAAACUAUCACCCUUGCAUUAUCAAAGAAAAUUUCAUUCACUAAUCUAUGUUUUUUUUAUGUGUAUGAUCUUUUUGCAGAGGAAUCUUACUAGCGAUUGACGUCAUAGGGAAUAGUGUCAUAGUCGGAGUAAGUUUACGUUACAUGUUGAGUAGCAGUAGUAUUAAAUGUGCCUGAUAUGUCUAUUUUUUCGAUAUAGCAGAUAAGGUGCAUUUCUACUGACAUAAUGCUAUGCUUCUUAGCCACUGUUUGGUUGGGAGCCUAGAGGAAAAAUACAGGGCAAUAACUCAUUAUCCUUCUGUACUGAUAAUUUUGAUAGCCAACGUUUUUCUCUAGUUUAUCCCUGUAAUGAUUAUAGUUUUUGUUGUUGCUGAUGUUGUAGCUACUUUUUGUAGUUGUUCUUACCUUUGGAGUUAUUUCUAUCAUUUAAAACUACACAGAAAAUUAGCUGUAUUCUCAUAGUUAUGCGAAUAUGGUGGGAUAACCUUGAUAUAAGAUGUAACCCUGCUCGAGUUUGUUCCCAAAAUAACCAUACCUUUAAUCUACACAAGUGACCGAUAAUCUAUAAUUGCCACUACAAUUAUUAGUCCUGAUUUUAGCUACACUUAGUGGAAACCAUAUAUGCAAUCAUAUAUUAUAGAUGGCAUGACCAAGCUUUUUAGCUACACUUCUGUUAUCACACCAUUCUGUCCUUUCUGACUUGACCAACAAAGAAGCAUCACAUAACACAUUUCGCAAACUUGGUUUUGUACUCAAUUGAAUAUUUGACAUAGCUUUAUUUCUAAUUUGAUAGUUGAUUCAACAUACUUUAUAAGAGACCAGCUGAGGGAAUGCUGCAAUUUUCUUAUGGUUCUGUACUGAAUAGGAUUUUUAGCUUAGGGGCUGGUUGAUUCCACGUAAAAUUUUGAAAAAAUAAUUUUCGAUGGAAAUUUUUUUUCGAAAGUUGAAUGAGUUGUAUGCUUUUUAGUGUUUGGUUUGUGGAAAGGAAAAUUAGUUUCCCAGCGAGACUUGUUUGGUUUGUUAGAAAAGAAAAACAUAGAUGAAAAAC
rnacentral:lncRNA from 1 species